rnacentral:lncRNA from 1 species
CGAAAAUUUCUUCUUCAAAUAGAAAAAUUGGAGAGUCUUAUCAGCUUGUACUUAUUAAACUCAAUGAAAAUAACUACACCUUUUGGGUCUCAUUUAUGCAUAAUGUAAUUCAUGAAAAAUGAUUACUUCGAUACAUAGAUGAAACCCAAAGUGGUGGGUAAAUAAUGCUUGAAUUAUGACAUGGUUGAUAGUUUCAUCCGAGAGAAACAUAGAGAUCAAUUUGAGCAACUUCAAAACUGCCCAAAAAGGUUUCUUGAGGAGAUUUAUCAUCAGACAACUGAGCACGAAAACACUAGCUACUACAUGAUCUCAUCUCACUUAAACAGGAAGAGCAAUCUAUUAAGGAUUUCUAGUCUUCCUUGAAGAUGCAUUGGGAUGCUCUAGCACUUAUGGAACAUGUGAUUGAAAAUGGUUGUCGUGCAAAAAUAAUUGCAAAAUCAAAAGAUCAAUUUCAAGUAAUUGAAUUUUUAAUGGCACUUCGUCCAGAAUUUGAAAAUACCAAAAAUGCCCAGUUACACAUAAGCUGUCUCCUACUUUGAAUCGAGCCCUUUCUGAGUUAAUUGCAAAAGAAACUAAGAUUAAGUCCCUUAGUUCAGUUUUUAAGCGAGAAUCAGCUUUUACUACAUCACAUCCUCAGAGACCAAGUGAGACUAAACAACAUCUGCGAAAUCC